rnacentral:lncRNA from 1 species
CUGCAACUUCUGCCCAAGGGACUUUCAGAAUUGCCAUGGACAGGGCCUGCCUGGUGGCCCUCCCUGUGAGAAGGUAUUCUUCCUGCUCCAUUGACAUCAGGCUUAUUAGCCAUGUUUCUGGAUUUGGUCCAUUUCAUCAUAAAGAGAACAUGGAGCAGGGCUGCAGCUGAUCUUCAAAGGGCAUGAACACAAGCCAGAGAGAAGCCGUUAUUGUUGUAAGCCCUGAAGAUUUGGGGGAUAUUAUUGCAACACAACUCAGCCCAAGCUGACUAAUACAACAAGUUUCUAUGUAUACAUGGAAAUGUAUGUAAUCUUAGCCUCAAAAAAAAAAAAAAGAAAAAAAGAGUAUCUGAAAAUCCCAGGAUACUCGGGGCUCA